UACGAAGGGGGCUAGCGUUGUUCGGAAUUACUGGGCGUAAAGCGCACGUAGGCGGAUUUUUAAGUCGGGGGUGAAAUCCCAGGGCUCAACCCUGGAACUGCCUCCGAUACUGGGAAUCUUGAGUUCGAGAGAGGUGAGUGGAAUUCCGAGUGUAGAGGUGAAAUUCGUAGAUAUUCGGAAGAACACCAGUGGCGAAGGCGGCUCACUGGCUCGAUACUGACGCUGAGGUGCGAAAGCGUGGGGAGCAAACAGG
rnacentral:rRNA from 1 species